GUAGGGUGCAAGCGUUAAUCGGAAUGACUGGGCGUAAAGGGUGCGCAGGCGGUCUGCUAAGACAGAGGUGAAAUCCCCGGGCUUAACCUGGGAAUGGCCUAUGUGACUGGCAGGCUGGAGGAUGGCAGAGGGAGGCGGAAUGCCGCGUGUAGCAGUGAAAUGCGUAGAGAUGUGGCGGAACACCGAUGGCGAAGGCAGCCUCCUGGGCCAAUCCUGACGCUCAGGCACGAAAGCGUGGGGAGCAAACAGGAUUAGAUACCCUGGUAGUCCACGCCCUAAACGAUGUCAACUAGUUGUUAGGGAAGAUUUCCUUAGUAACGUAGCUAACGCGUGAAGUUGACCGCCUGGGGAGUACGGUCGCAAGAUUA
rnacentral:rRNA from 1 species